rnacentral:rRNA from 1 species
AUGAAGGACGCAGCGAAAUGCGAUACGUAAUGUGAAUUGCAGAAUUCAGUGAAUCAUCGAAUCUUUGAACGCACCUUGCGCCCCUUGGUAUUCCGAAGGGCACACCCGUUUG